UGAGGGAUAUUGGUCAAUGGGCGAAAGCCUGAACCAGCGACGCCGCGUGGGUGACGAAGGUCUUCGGAUCGUAAAGCCCUUUUCUGGGUGAAGAGCAAGGACGGUAGCCCAGGAAGAAGUCUCGGCUAACUACGUGCCAGCAGCCGCGGUAAAACGUAGGAGACAAGCGUUAUCCGGAGUUACUGGGCGUAAAGGGCGUGCAGGCGGCGCAUUAAGUCUGUUGUGAAAGCGCCUGGCUUAACCGGGCGAGGCCAAUGGAGACUGAUGGGCUAGAGGACGGCGGAGGGGUGUGGAAUUCCGGGUGUAGUGGUGAAAUGCGUAGAGAUCCGGAGGAACACCAGAGGCGAAGGCGGCACCCUAAGCCGUACCUGACGCUGAGACGCGACAGCACGGGGAGCAAACGGGAUUAGGAUACCCUGGUAGUCCACGCCGUAAACGAUGGGUACUAGGCGUCGGGGGGAGCGACCCUCCCGGUGCCGUCGCUAACGCAGUAAGUACCCCGCCUGGGGAGUACGGCCGCAAGG
rnacentral:rRNA from 1 species